UUAAGUUCAGCGGGUAGUCCUACCUGAUUUGAGAUCAAACGUUCACAAUGCUGUCUUCGCUGAGGAGAGACAUUUAUGAGCCCCAGCGAACCUCCAUCACUGAAGGUUACCUGGCGGAAACCACAAGCGUAGAUAUUUAUCACACCCGUGAUGCCACCAAACACUGGAAAGCUGAUUCAUUUGAAGGGAGCCGACCGCAG
rnacentral:misc_RNA from 1 species